rnacentral:rRNA from 1 species
CCCUUAGAUGUCCGGGGCCGCACGCGCGCUACACUGAAGGAAUCAGCGUGGCUCUGUCCCUGGUCCGAAAGGAUUGGGAAACCCGUUGAAUCUCCUUCGUGAUAGGGAUUGGGGCUUGGAACUGUUCCCCAUGAACGAGGAAUUCCUAGUAAACGCAAGUCAUCAACUUGCAUUGAUUACGUCCCUGCCCUUUGUACACACCGCCCGUCGCACCUACCGAUUGAAUGGUCCGGUGAAGCCUCCGGAUUGGCGCGCACCUCGGUGCCGCCGAGAAGUUGGCUAAACCUUACCAUUUAGAGGAAGGUGAAGUCGUAACA